CUGAGAGGGAAUGCUAUGACACACUUGUAUGACCUUCCAAGCUUUGUAAUAUCCCAUCCUUCAGAGAUAGUGUGAACGAGGGAGUGUGAACAAGGGAGUGUAUGUGGGACUGGGCGGAGAGGAACUGCAAGGAGAAAGGAGCCCGGAGCCAGGAGCGUCUGAUAUAAUCUGCCCUGAGAAGGCAGUCAUGAAGUGCUGAAAAGAAAAGAAGAACCUGGCAUGCAUGAAAGGAACUGGUUUGGGAAUGCUUCUCGGUGACGGACACAGAAAGGAAACUCAGUGUACGUGACAGGAGCCGCCCAAUUCUAGAAAUAAGAGGAAGAAGGCAUGCACACAAGCCCCUGCUUCUUGACCCUCUCAGCAGCCUGGAUUCGUGACUGCAGACAGACACACCAGAUCUACCAUGCUUCGGCUUCUUGGCCUCCAUGCUGUCUCUGGUAACUCUCUGUCUGUUCAAAGAGAAGUAACCACCCUCUUCAAAGCACCUCAGGAAAGUGCACCUGAGCAGCGUGAGCAAUGCGGGAGAUACUAAACAACUGAGAAUUGAUGAUUAUCUGACGCGGAUGGAGUUGGAGCUGAGAGCAAACGAGCCACAGCUGGAGCAACAAAGGCUAGAGGAUAGUGAGAGGC